rnacentral:rRNA from 1 species
CCUACGGGAGGCAGCAGUGGGGAAUAUUGCACAAUGGGCGGAAGCCUGAUGCAGCGACGCCGCGUGAGGGAUGACGGCCUUCGGGUUGUAAACCUCUUUCAGUAGGGAAGAAGCGUAAGUGACGGUACCUGCAGAAGAAGCGCCGGCUAACUACGUGCCAGCAGCCGCGGUAAUACGUAGGGCGCAAGCGUUAUCCGGAAUUAUUGGGCGUAAAGAGCUCGUAGGCGGUUUGUCGCGUCUGCCGUGAAAGUCCGGGGCUCAACUCCGGAUCUGCGGUGGGUACGGGCAGACUAGAGUGAUGUAGGGGAGACUGGAAUUCCUGGUGUAGCGGUGAAAUGCGCAGAUAUCAGGAGGAACACCGAUGGCGAAGGCAGGUCUCUGGGCAUUAACUGACGCUGAGGAGCGAAAGCAUGGGGAGCGAACAGGAUUAGAUACCCUGGUAGUCCAUGCCGUAAACGUUGGGCACUAGGUGUGGGGGACAUUCCACGUUUUCCGCGCCGUAGCUAACGCAUUAAGUGCCCCGCCGUGGGAGGUACGGCCGCGAGACGUAAACUAACAAAGAAAGUAGACGGCGNGAGACGUGCCGAACGGACGACGACGAGGGAGGAGG